rnacentral:rRNA from 1 species
AUGAACGCUAGCUACAGGCUUAACACAUGCAAGUCGAGGGGAAACGACAUCGAAAGCUUGCUUUUGAUGGGCGUCGACCGGCGCACGGGUGAGUAACGCGUAUCCAACCUGCCCACCACUUGGGGAUAACCUUGCGAAAGUAAGACUAAUACCCAAUGAUAUCUCUAGAAGACAUCUGAAAGAGAUUAAAGAUUUAUCGGUGAUGGAUGGGGAUGCGUCUGAUUAGCUUGUUGGCGGGGUAACGGCCCACCAAGGCAACGAUCAGUAGGGGUUCUGAGAGGAAGGUCCCCCACAUUGGAACUGAGACACGGUCCAAACUCCUACGGGAGGCAGCAGUGAGGAAUAUUGGUCAAUGGACGAGAGUCUGAACCAGCCAAGUAGCGUGCAGGAUGACGGCCCUAUGGGUUGUAAACUGCUUUUAUAAGGGAAUAAAGUGAGUCUCGUGAGACUUUUUGCAUGUACCUUAUGAAUAAGGACCGGCUAAUUCCGUGCCAGCAGCCGCGGUAAUACGGAAGGUCCGGGCGUUAUCCGGAUUUAUUGGGUUUAAAGGGAGCGUAGGCCGGAGAUUAAGCGUGUUGUGAAAUGUAGACGCUCAACGUCUGCACUGCAGCGCGAACUGGUUUCCUUGAGUACGCACAAAGUGGGCGGAAUUCGUGGUGUAGCGGUGAAAUGCUUAGAUAUCACGAAGAACUCCGAUUGCGAAGGCAGCUCACUGGAGCGCAACUGACGCUGAAGCUCGAAAGUGCGGGUAUCGAACAGGAUUAGAUACCCUGGUAGUCCGCACGGUAAACGAUGGAUGCCCGCUGUUGGUCUGAAUAGGUCAGCGGCCAAGCGAAAGCAUUAAGCAUCCCACCUGGGGAGUACGCCGGCAACGGUGAAACUCAAAGGAAUUGACGGGGGCCCGCACAAGCGGAGGAACAUGUGGUUUAAUUCGAUGAUACGCGAGGAACCUUACCCGGGCUCGAACGGCGCCUGAACCACCCAGAGAUGGGUGGGUCUUCGGACAGGUGCCGAGGUGCUGCAUGGUUGUCGUCAGCUCGUGCCGUGAGGUGUCGGCUUAAGUGCCAUAACGAGCGCAACCCCUCUCCUUAGUUGCCAUCAGGUCAAGCUGGGCACUCUGGGGACACUGCCACCGUAAGGUGUGAGGAAGGUGGGGAUGACGUCAAAUCAGCACGGCCCUUACGUCCGGGGCUACACACGUGUUACAAUGGCAGGUACAGAGAGAUGGUGUUCUGCAAAGCGCAUCUAAUCCUUAAAGCCUGUCUCAGUUCGGACUGGGGUCUGCAACCCGACCCCACGAAGCUGGAUUCGCUAGUAAUCGCGCAUCAGCCAUGGCGCGGUGAAUACGUUCCCGGGCCUUGUACACACCGCCCGUCAAGCCAUGAAAGCCGGGGGCGCCUAAAGUCCGUGACCGUAAGGAGCGGCCUAGGGCGAAACUGGUAAUUGGGGCU